AGAGUUUGAUCCUGGCUCAGGAUGAACGCUGGCGGCGUGCUUAACACAUGCAAGUCGAACGGGAAACCUUUUAUUGAAGCUUCGGCAGAUUUAGAUUGUUUCUAGUGGCGGACGGGUGAGUAACGCGUGGGUAACCUGCCUUAUACAGGGGGAUAACAGUCAGAAAUGACUGCUAAUACCGCAUAAGCGCACAGAGCUGCAUGGCUCAGCGUGAAAAACUCCGGUGGUAUAAGAUGGACCCGCGUUGGAUUAGCUGGUUGGUGAGGUAACGGCCCACCAAGGCGACGAUCCAUAGCCGGCCUGAGAGGGUGAACGGCCACAUUGGGACUGAGACACGGCCCAGACUCCUACGGGAGGCAGCAGUGGGGAAUAUUGCACAAUGGGGGAAACCCUGAUGCAGCGACGCCGCGUGAAGGAAGAAGUAUCUCGGUAUGUAAACUUCUAUCAGCAGGGAAGAAUUAGGACGGUACCUGACUAAGAAGCCCCGGCUAACUACGUGCCAGCAGCCGCGGUAAUACGUAGGGGGCAAGCGUUAUCCGGAUUUACUGGGUGUAAAGGGAGCGUAGACGGAUGGACAAGUCUGAUGUGAAAGGCUGGGGGCUCAACCCCGGGACUGCAUUGGAAACUGCCCGUCUUGAGUGCCGGAGAGGUAAGCGGAAUUCCUAGUGUAGCGGUGAAAUGCGUAGAUAUCAGGAGGAACACCAGUGGCGAAGGCGGCUUACUGGACGGUAACUGACGUUGAGGCUCGAAAGCGUGGGGAGCAAACAGAAAGAGAUACCCUGGUAGUCCACGCGGUAAACGA
rnacentral:rRNA from 1 species